AUUGAACGCUGGCGGCAUGCCUAACACAUGCAAGUCGAACGGUAACGCGGGGGCAACCCUGGCGACGAGUGGCGGACGGGUGAGUAAUACGUAGGAAUCUGCCCAUUUGUGGGGGAUAACCCGGCGAAAGCCGGGCUAAUACCGCAUACGCUCUACGGAGGAAAGCAGGGGAUCGUAAGACCUUGCGCUAAUGGAUGAGCCUACGUCGGAUUAGCUAGUUGGUAGGGUAACGGCCUACCAAGGCGACGAUCCGUAGCUGGUCUGAGAGGACGAUCAGCCACACUGGGACUGAGACACGGCCCAGACUCCUACGGGUGGCUGCCUGAGAAGGCACACAGGGGAUAGG
rnacentral:rRNA from 1 species